AGCCAGCAAGCCCUGAGCCUGGUGGGUCAGUGCAGCUUCUUGGAUUCCCCUUUGAAUUUCUGCCAUAUUACUUGAUCUGGCAUUUUUCUCAAGGUUCAUCUUUAAAUUCCUUCCUGCCUGCUGCUUUGUCAUGAAUCAAAAUGUAUCCUGCAUGACUAGUGUCAUUGCAAACUGAAGUCCAGAAUCAUGGGGACACUUGGGAGCCUGACUCAGACACCUGUGAAUCAAUCAUGUUGCAGCUGAUGGGAGCCAUACACCUGGCUAAUGUGAGCCACUGUAACACAUAUAGGAAAAAA
rnacentral:lncRNA from 14 species